ACCGCCUGACAGGGCUGGAGUGUGAUGGUGGUGGAGAUCUGUGGGCUGGUGACAGAGGGGGCUUUUAGCCUGAGGGGCUUGUUAGGGAGAGGGGAGCGACUCCGUUCCUAGUGGACCUGGGAGACCUUGACGUGGGUGGCUCCGGGUCGGUCUCACGUCUGGCACUGCAUAGAAAAGAGCGUAGCUGGGGCCUCAUUUGCCAGGCAGUCUUGGAUUCAAAACAAGAAAUGAUCCUGGGGACUCCCUUCUCAUGUGGGGCCCCCUUGAUGUCUAUGGAAACAGGAGAGGGGGUUGUGGCCCCAAUGCCUGGAGAGGCCAGGUGUCACAAGCUCAGUUCUCAAGCGGACCUGUUCAGUGGGUGGAGAGGGUGGUGUGUUCUUGGCCUGGGGAGCUUGGAGGAGUCUGAUAACUUCGUGUGUUCCCUCGUUGGAUCAUCAGAAUCAGCAAGCCCGAGAACAGCCGGUGGUACCUCCCGAGUGACUGCAGAUCAUACAUGUGGGCAUCUUUUUUUAUUCAGGAAAUUCUUUCCAGGAAGGCAAGGCACUGCCUGCAAAUGGCUUUAAGACGAGCGCCCAGACACUCAGCUGACCUGAAGGGCUCUGAGCCACACCUUGCGACAUGCAGAACUUCUCCAACAAGGGAUCAAACCCACACCUCCUCUGUGGACGCAUGGAGUCUGAACCCCUGGACUACCAGGGAAGUCCCAUGACAUGCUUUAUUAAGAAGGACCAGGCUUGGAGCUUGACGAGGCCUUCCUGGGGGCACCUGUGCUUCUGUGCCCUUUUUCUUUGAAGGUUGCACACAUCAGUCCUGGAAGAUGAGACCAGAAAAUCCUCCAGCUCUCUGGGCCUGCUCAUAUCCACCAACCGUACUUCUUUCCUCCAGCAGCAUCGCCGCCCACAUCCCGCCCACAUCCUCCUCCACAAGGCCCGAGACCACCUGAAAAUAUCAGGGGCAUUCCUAUAAGUGCCAAGCUUGGUUUUCUUCAGCUUAUUCUGGCAUUUUCUUGAGACUGAUGAAAAUGGUGAUGUGGAGGCAUAAAUUCUGUUUGUUGCGAGUUGACAUAGAUAAAAAAAAAAGGCUCGGGGUGGCCCCUUCAGAGGAGUUUGGGAGUUGCAUGUUCUGCUUGCUUUGAUAGAGAAGUCCUUCUCUGCCCUGGCUGGUGUUAUCAGAAUUAAACGUUUGCUGAGCAAAUGGUCAGUCUCAUUGGAUCCACCUUUACAGCCCAAAUGCCUUCCUUCCCUCAAGGGCUUCCCAGGUGGCGCUAGUGGUGAAGAACCCGCCUGCCAAUGCAGGAGACUUAGAGACUGGUUCAAACCCUGGGUUGGGAAGAUCCCCUGGCGGAGGGCAUGGCAACCCACUCCAGUAUUUUUGCCUGGAGAAUCCCAUGGACAGAGGAGCCUGGCGGGCUACAGUCCAUCUUGUCGCAAAGAGUCGGACAGGACUGAAGUGACUGAGCACAGCACCUCAUGUGAAAAUGCUCGUUCCUCCAGGCAUCGAAUCCUGGAGAGAUGCAGGUAUAGCUUUCCAGGUGCUGGGGCCAUGAUUUUCCGGCCUUUUCUUCUUUUCUCUGUGGGGUGAGUGGGGUCUGUGAAUACACGUGCGUGAGGCUGGAUGAUUAGGGCAAAAGAAACGUGUCUGGGACUUCAGCUUCUUCAUUCCU